rnacentral:misc_RNA from 1 species
UACCUUCUUCUUAGCGCCACA